AAAAGAUAAACGGUUGAAGAUUGGUGAUAGAUAAGAGAGGAGUUGCACCAGCCUCAGCGUAAACAACGGUUUGAGUGAAAGAUGGAGUUCGAUUGGUAUCGGAAUUCAAGCCUUAAAGAGAAAGCAUCACCAGCGGAGAAACUUUACUUCGGCGAGCUUGCCGUUUCCAGUGAGAAAA